UAUAAGAGCGUUUAGAUUACUAAAGUAGUGAUCUAAACACUCUUAUAUCUCUACAGAGAGAGUACUUAAUAGUGUUUUGCUUUUGCAGGCAUGCAAGUGCAUUUGGUGAUGACUACUAAUGGACGUUGUCACAUACAGUACAUCUGGAGAUUAAUGUUGUUUAUCUGGCACACACAUGAAGAAUUGCAUCGGGAUAUUACCUGAGGCUGAUGGUGCUGAUGUUGUGUCUUCAGUUCGUUGGAUGUUUCUUUGUGCCUAUGAUCGUUUGGGUGUCGCCGGCGUAUAUUGGAUGCAACUUGCUGGAGUUGUUGCCAUACCUUCAAUUUGUCGGCCAUCUCGUGUGUGUUUGAUCUUCCCGACAUCAUGAAAAUGUAGCUAUUGAGAAAGUGCAUCAUGGGUCAUUUAUGAAUGUAUGUCUUGUAAAAUUAUGGUUUAAUGAUGUUUAUGUGAUAUAAGCAGAGGGAUGAGUGUAUGUGACCA